AUUGAACGCUGGCGGCAUGCUUUACACAUGCAAGUCGAACGGCAGCGCGGGCUUCGGCCUGGCGGCGAGUGGCGAACGGGUGAGUAAUACAUCGGAACGUGCCCAGUAGUGGGGGAUAGCUCGGCGAAAGCCGGAUUAAUACCGCAUACGACCUGAGGGUGAAAGCGGGGGAUCUUCGGACCUCGCGCUAUUGGAGCGGCCGAUGGCAGAUUAGCUAGUUGGUGGGGUAAAGGCCUACCAAGGCGACGAUCUGUAGCUGGUCUGAGAGGACGACCAGCCAACCGGGACUGGGGCAAGGCCCCAAACCCUAAGGGGAGGCACAGGGGGGGAAUUUGGACAAUGGGCGAAAGCCUGAUCCAGCAAUGCCGCGUGUGUGAUGAAGGCCUUCGGGUUGUAAAGCACUUUUGGCGGGAACGAAAAGGACUGUGCCAAUACCACGGUUCGAUGACGGUACCCGCAGAAUAAGCACCGGCUAACUACGUG
rnacentral:rRNA from 1 species